AGAGUUUGAUCCUGGCUCAGGAUGAACGCUGGCGGUAUGCCUAACACAUGCAAGUCGUACGAGGGUUUUUAACUCUAGUGGCGGACGGGUGAGUAACACGUGAGAAUUUGCCUUUAGGAGGGGGAUAACAAUCGGAAACGAAUGCUAAUACCCCAUAUGCUUUCGAGUGAAACGGAUUUAUCCGCCUAAAGAGAAGCUCGCGGCUGAUUAGCUUGUUGGUAAGGUAAGAGCUUACCAAGGCGACGAUCAGUAUCUGGUUUGAGAGGACGAUCAGACACACUGGAACUGAGACACGGUCCAGACUCCUACGGGAGGCAGCAGUGGGGAAUUUUCCGCAAUGGGCGAAAGCCUGACGGAGCAAUACCGCGUGAGGGAAGACUGCCUAUGGGUUGUAAACCUCUUUUUUCAGGGAGGAAUAAAAUGACGUGUACCUGAAGAAUAAGCAUCGGCUAACUCCGUGCCAGCAGCCGCGGUAAGACGGAGGAUGCAAGUGUUAUCCGGAAUCACUGGGCGUAAAGCGUCUGUAGGUGGCUUAAUAAGUCAACUGUUAAAUCUUGAGGCUCAACUUCAAAAUCGCAGUCGAAACUAUUAGACUAGAGUAUAGUAGAGGUAAAGGGAAUUUCCAGUGGAGCGGUGAAAUGCGUAGAUAUUGGAAAGAACACCGAUGGCGAAAGCACUUUACUGGGCUAUUACUAACACUCAGAGACGAAAGCUAGGGUAGCAAAUGGGAUUAGAUACCCCAGUAGUCCUAGCCGUAAACUAUGGAUACUAGAUGUUGAACAGAUCGACCUGUGCAGUAUCAAAGCUAACGCGUUAAGUAUCCCGCCUGGGAAGUAUGCUCGCAAGAGUGAAACUCAAAGGAAUUGCCGG
rnacentral:rRNA from 1 species